CGAAGAGGUCACACCCGUUCCCAUGCCGAACACGGAAGUUAAGCUCUUCAGCGCCGAUGGUAGUCGGGGGUUUCCCCCUGUGAGAGUAGGACGCCGCCAAGCC
rnacentral:rRNA from 1 species